rnacentral:rRNA from 1 species
CCUACGGGAGGCAGCAGUGGGGAAUAUUGCACAAUGGGGGAAACCCUGAUGCAGCGACGCCGCGUGAGGGAAGAAGUAAUUCGGUAUGUAAAGCUCUAUCAGCAGGGAAGAAAAUGACGGUACCUGAGUAAGAAGCCCCGGCUAACUACGUGCCAGCAGCCGCGGUAAUACGUAGGGGGCAAGCGUUAUCCGGAUUUACUGGGUGUAAAGGGAGCGUAGACGGCAGUGCAAGUCUGGAGUGAAAGGCGGGGGCUCAACCCCCGGACUGCUCUUGAAACUGUACGGCUGGAGUGCAGGAGAGGUAAGUGGAAUUCCUAGUGUAGCGGUGAAAUGCGUAGAUAUUAGGAGGAACACCAGUGGCGAAGGCGGCUUACUGGACUGUAACUGACGUUGAGGCUCGAAAGCGUGGGGAGCAAACAGGAUUAGAUACCCGGGUAGUC